rnacentral:rRNA from 1 species
GGUUGCGAUCAUACCAGCACUAAUGCACCGGAUCCCGUCAGAACUCCGCAGUUAAACGUGCUUGGGCGAGAGUAGUACUAGGAUGGGUGACCCCCUGGAAGUCCUCGUGUUGCAACCCC